rnacentral:piRNA from 1 species
UUCUCGGGAGCUGGCUCUCGUGCCAGAUAAA